rnacentral:rRNA from 1 species
ACUACGGGAGGCAGCAGUGGGGGAUAUUGCACAAUGGGGGAAACCCUGAUGCAGCGACGCCGCGUGAGUGAAGAAGUAUUUCGGUAUGUAAAGCUCUAUCAGCAGGGAAGAAAAUGACAGUACCUGACCAAGAAGCCCCGGCUAACUACGUGCCAGCAGCCGCGGUAAUACGUAGGGGGCAAGCGUUAUCCGGAUUUACUGGGUGUAAAGGGGGCGUAGACGGUUAUGUAAGUCUGGAGUGAAAGCCCGGGGCCCAACCCCGGGACUGCUUUGGAAACUGUGUAACUGGAGUACAGGAGGGGCAGGCGGAAUUCCUGGUGUAGCGGUGAAAUGCGUAGAUAUCAGGAGGAACACCGGCGGCGAAGGCGGCCUGCUGGACUGAAACUGACGUUGAGGCUCGAAAGCGUGGGGAGCAAACAGGAUUAGAUACCCCAGUAGUC